rnacentral:rRNA from 1 species
UGAACGCUAGCGGCAGGCUUAACACAUGCAAGUCGAGGGGUAACAGGGAUUGCUUGCAAUCCGCUGACGACCGGCGCACGGGUGCGUAACGCGUAUGCAACCUACCUUUUACAAGGGGAUAGCCCAGAGAAAUUUGGAAUAAUACCCUAUACGAUCAUUAAUUGGCAUCAAUUAAUGAAGAAAACUCCGGUGGUAAAAGAUGGGCAUGCGUCCUAUUAGUUAGUUGGUAAGGUAACGGCUUACCAAGACUUCGAUAGGUAGGGGUCCUGAGAGGGAGAUCCCCCACACUGGUACUGAGACACGGACCAGACUCCUACGGGAGGCAGCAGUGAGGAAUAUUGGACAAUGGAGGCAACUCUGAUCCAGCCAUGCCGCGUGCAGGAAGACGGCCCUAUGGGUUGUAAACUGCUUUUAUACAGGAAGAACUAUAUCUACGUGUAGAUAUUUGACGGUACUGUACGAAUAAGGAUCGGC